rnacentral:rRNA from 1 species
UACGGAGGGAGCUAGCGUUGUUCGGAAUUACUGGGCGUAAAGCGCACGUAGGCGGCUUUGUAAGUCAGAGGUGAAAGCCCGGGGCUCAACUCCAGAACUGCCUUUGAGACUGCAUCGCUCGAAUCCGGGAGAGGUGAGUGUAAUUCCGAGUGUAGAGGUGAAAUUCGUAGAUAUUCGGAAGAACACCAGUGGCGAAGGCGGCUCACUGGACCGGUAUUGACGCUGAGGUACGAAAGCGUGGGGAGCAAACAGG